AAAAACCAAGAUCAUUUAAGUUUUUGUAUACAUCUGUGCAGCUCUAACCUGCGUUUGAAGGUCCUCGGCAGGCAGGAUGGGCCUCAAGUGGUUGGAGGCUCUCCUUGGGGUGAUUCCCUUGUCCUGAAUGGCCUUCCUGGCUCUCUGCUCCUUCUUUUUUAUCCUCCAGUACUCCCGCUUCCUCCUCAGAAAGUCCUCCUGAGACUCCCCUGGGAUGGGCUUUGGUGGAGCCAUGGUGCUUGCCGGUGCCAGCUUGGUGGAAGUUUGUAUCAUAUGUGUGGAGCUCGGAAGUUGAGCGCAAGGGAUUUUUAUUGGACUGAGGGUGGUAUUUGGAGUUUGAGGGGGUUCAAUAGGAUGCAAGUUGAUGCUGGACAGUGGGUUGUCUGGGGGCUUCAGAGUAGGCUCAUCAUACCGCUGUACUCGGUCACCACGCUAAAAUAUCCUGGUGCUGAUGGCGGGUUUUGGCAUUGUUCUUGUGCCUGACAAAGUUGUUCACAGUGUUGUUGCUGUGGUUGUAGUUGAUCCAUGGGUAGAUGAUGUAGCUUUGGCGGUUCUGAGGAACAGCAGCUUUCGUGGUCUCCUUUUUUGGUGUGAAGCCUUGGUGUUCUUUGUGGUGAAGAUGGGCCAUCAGAGGCUUCCAUGGAGGGGUUUACAAUGAAGUUUGAAGGCGUUUGGGAUGAGUGCUCACAGGUGGGAUGCAGGACUACCUCAUUGGAGGUUGGAAGAGGUGGAAGUGUCUCGCUACUUUGUGAUGAGUCUUUGAGAUGAGGGCUUGGAGAACUCGCUUGUACCAAGGCAUCGGUAUCUGGCUGGCAGCUUUUUAUCUCCAAUUUCAAGUCAGCAGCAAUAGGAGCCACCUCAUUCUGAGGUAAAUUUGCCUUCAUCUCUUGCUCUGACGUCUCUGCUGUUGACUCUAUUUUAAUGUGUGUCACUGUGCUAAGUGAUUCUUCCAGGAGUUUCUUCAUGGAGGCCACAGCUAACAGAGUAGUAGCUUGGCUGUCUGCAUUCAGAGCUAGGUCAGGCUCUGGCUGAGGCGCUGUAGGUGGUGAUGGGGAGGUUGGGGGGUUGAUAUCUGGACAGAUGGCUUGUUCUGGUUGAGAAUUUAGGUCAACUGCUGGCACAGACUCACUCUCUUGUUUUAUCUCAUUUGCAUGUGGCGUAACAGGCGCACUGUUGUUGGGGAGAGAUUGUGCAUUUCCUGUAUACUUAAUAAGACUUCUGCCUAGUGGUCCAGUGUUUAGAGCUACUUGCUUCUGGGCCUUCCUCCGCUGUAAGGUCGCAUUGGCCCUCGCAUGUAAGACACCCUGCUUCAACCGAGCAGCACGAGCUGCCCGCUGCUCUCGUUUUUUUAACCUCCAGUACUCCCUCUUUUUUGCCAUCCUCUCCUCCUCCGUCAACCCUGGAUCCAGAGAGAGCGCCGAUAGUGAAAGCGCACUAUUUGAAACGGUCAUUUUCAUGACACAGCCACCGAGGUCGGUCCUUGCUGUCGAUACUCCAGAAACAGAAAUUUGAGGGGUUUCAGGAUGAGUGAGUGUGAGCUGACUAACAGUUUGGAUUGCUAACUUGUGUGAAUUAGGAACAGCUGUGCUUUCAAAUUGAGUUCUUGGUCUGAUUGACAGUAGUCUUGGAGGCUUGUUGACCGACUGUCCGGCAAGAGGAAAAGAGACUUUCACCUGAGCUGGGCGAAGUAGAGGGGGGAACUGGUUUACACGGAUGGGUGUAAUACCUCUCCGUUUAGUAUUAGGUUGAUGCUGAGGUUUUGUGAUAUCAUUACAAACUGCAUGACCAUCUUCUUCACUUUUGGGUGCUGCUGUGUUGUGGUCCAUAGGAACCUGGGGAAUGUUAAUGGUCACUGUCCCGUCCUCUUUGAUGAACCCUCCAAUGGUCUCAGAGGCAUGGGUAAGGGUGCUUCCAGCCAAUUGGGCCAUUACUCUGGCCCUCCUCAUCUCCUCUAGGAUGUUCUGGUAACGUUUCACUCGACGCAUCAGAGAGUCCUUCUCCUUCAAACGAACCUUCACUUCCAUUGACAGCUUAGCUCGCUGUUCGCGCUUCUUUAGCCGCCAGUACUGUCGUCGCUUGGCUAUUAUCUGCUCAGGUGUGUCGUUAGGGUUGAUUUGGGGGAGAUUUCUGAUUCCAAAGACCGAAGCCAGAAACGGGGAUUUACAUCUUAUGUUUCUUUGAAUCAUGAAAUUCUUCUGGGCUUCGAUGAACCUCUGUCUAGGUGUUUUACAUCGUGAGAUCCCUCGGGAAACAUGAGAAAGAUGUACAUAACUUGGAAGCUUUCUCUUUGACUCCCCUGGCUUUCUCACAGAAAUAACAUCACAUGUGAUGGCUGUCUGUGCUGUCCUAUUCUCAUGUGGAUUUUGUACUUUUAUUCUACCUGCUUGUAUUGUAGCUAAUCUUGCUGCUCCACUUUGCGGCUUAUAAUUUUCCCUUUUGACAGAUGUAAAUGAAGUUCUGACCCGAGAAUGACACUGCUUCUGGCCAGCUGCUCUCAAAAACGACUGAGAUGGAAGAUGCUGAAGAAUUGUGCUGCCCACGAGUCCCGUUUUUUGUGCCGUUUGCCUCUGUAACGUCAUCUCAGCGCUCUGCGUCCUUUCUCUAGCUAUAGCUGUCUGAGCUGCCAUCUUUGCCCUCUGCUCUCGCUUCUUGAUCCGCCAUUGCUCUCUGCGCUUGGCUGCUCUCUCCUCCUCCGGCUCCAGGGAAGACUGUGAGUUGGUAACACCUUUAGCCCUAUGCAUGGUGACCAAGGCACUCUUCGUUCCACUUUGAGGUGUUAUGUUCAAUGUUUUACCCUCUGUUUUAAUAGAAACUGGGACACAUGGAGAAGUGUGACCUGUUGUCACGUUGGUGGGUAAGAGUUUGGGCUGAAUGCGUAAUGCAAGUUGUGCCUUAUGCUGCACUUUGGGGACUGAUGCGCCCUGCAUAGACACACAUGGCUGAGGAGUUGUUUUAGCGCAGCUGCCAUUGGUAGUUCUGAUUACCCUGACUGGAGGCACUGAGGAAUGGUUGUUCAGCUGGGUUCCAGUGUGUGAGGUAACGGCUCUGCUCACAGGACCCCUUGCUGUUAGGCAUUUCUCUGUUGCUGUGUUGUGCCUAUCAGCUUUUGCUGACGUGGAACAUGAUGCUGGCAAUUGAGGCAAGACCUUGUUGAGUUCCAUUGUAUGGAGCCACUUCUCCUUUUGGUUGUCAGUGGCCUCAACUGAGCUGUUCCCCACUCCAUUUCCACCAUUUGGUGCAGAAGAGACAUCAACUGUUUUGUUUGAGUCAUCAUUACUCUGCAAAGGAGAAGAGAAAGCAGCAUAAGAGCUCGAUAAAGUGGAAUUCAUCACUGCAGGGGCAUGCAGAUGUAGGGGCUUUCCCCCUUGACUGUGGUGUGUUGAUUUUCUUCUGCACUCUGUCAGUUUGGCCCUCUGCUCUCGUUUCUUGGUUCUCCAAUAUUGUCUCUUUUGGGUGAGGGUGGCAUCAUCAUAUUCUGAGGCAGGUCGGUAGCGGUGGGACAUUGGACCACCUUUAUCUUUUGCAGUUGGCAUCGCAAUCUUGGACAGCCAUCCAGUUCUCAUCCAACAGUACUGAUUGGCUCUUCCCUCGUCACGUUGAUUCAAUUCAUCCCCUCAGGCCUCACUGACAUUAACGUACAUGGUGUCCUCCUAUAUGACGCUGCACUUGGUGUUUUGCUCGGCUGAGCAGCUGCCAAAUAUCUCAGGCAUCACAUCGAUAUAUGCAGGUGACCUGAGGAACAGAAAACAAGGCUUAGUUGCAUGUUACUUUGUUAUAGACCUGGUAGCCAACAGUGGAGUGAGCUGAGGAAAUCUAUCAAACAGUCAUUGUAUAAUUUCCUUUAAAAAGGAGAUCCAAGCCUUCUGAUAAAAAUGAUCACAUGUUCUGAGGUCAAAGUGAA
rnacentral:lncRNA from 1 species